CGUUAUCCGGAAUUACUCGGGCGUAAAGCGUUCGUAGGCGGUUAGUUAAGUUAGAUGUGAAAGCCCCGGGCUUAACCUGGGAACUGCAUUUAAAACUGGCUAACUCGAGUUUAGGAGAGGGAAGUGGAAUUUCAGGUGUAGCAGUGAAAUGCGUAGAGAUCUGAAGGAACACCAGUGGCGAAGGCGACUUCCUGGACUAAAACUGACGCUGAGGAACGAAAGCGUGGGUAGCAAACGGGAUUAGAUACCCCGGUAGUCCACGCCGUAAACGAUGUCAACUAGCCGUUGGGCCUAUAUACAGGUUUAGUGGCGGAGCUAACGUAUUAAGUUGACCGCCUGGGGAGUACGGCCGCAAGGUUAAAACUCAAAUGAAUUGACGGGGGCCCGCACAAGCGGUGGAGCAUGUGGUUUAAUUCGAUGCAACGCGAAGAACCUUACCUACCCUUGACAUCCAGAGAAUCUGUUAGAGAUAGUAGAGUGCCUUCGGGAACUCUGAGACAGGUGCUGCAUGGCUGUCGUCAGCUCGUGUCGUGAGAUGUUGGGUUAAGUCCCGUAACGAGCGCAACCCUUAUCCUUAGUUGCUAGCAGGUCANGCUGAGAACUCUAAGGAGACUGCCGGUUGAUA
rnacentral:rRNA from 1 species